AUGGUUCAUUCAAAUUUCUGCCCUAUCAACUUUCGAUUGUAGUUUAGUGGACUACAAUGGUUUCAACGGGUAACGGGGAAUUAGGGUUCGACUCCGGAGAGGGAGCCUGAGAAACGGCUACCACAUCCAAGGAAGGCAGCAGGCGCGCAAAUUACCCAAUCCCGACACGGGGAGGUAGUGACAAUAAAUACUGAUACAGGGCUCUUUUGGGUCUUGUAAUUGGAAUGAGUACAAUUUAAAUCCCUUAACGAGGAACAAUUGGAGGGCAAGUCUGGUGCCAGCAGCCGCGGUAAUUCCAGCUCCAAUAGCGUAUAUUAAAGUUGUUGCAGUUAAAAAGCUCGUAGUUGAACCUUGGGCCUGGCUGACUGGUCCGCCUCACCGCGUGCACUGGUUCGGCCGGGCCUUUCCUUCUGCGGAACGGCAUGCCCUUCACUGGGCGUGUUUCGGGAAGCAGGACUUUUACUUUGAAAAAAUUAGAGUGUUCAAAGCAGGCCUUUGCUCGAAUACAUUAGCAUGGAAUAAUAGAAUAGGACGGCGCUCCUAUUUUGUUGGUUUCUAGGAGAGCCGUAAUGAUUAAUAGGGACAGUUGGGGGCAUCCGUAUUCAGUUGUCAGAGGUGAAAUUCUUGGAUUUACUGAAGACGAACUACUGCGAAAGCAUUUGCCAAAGAUGUUUUCAUUAAUCAGUGAACGAAAGUUAGGGGAUCGAAGACGAUCAGAUACCGUCGUAGUCUUAACCAUAAACUAUGCCGACUAGGGAUCGGGCGAUGUUAUUGUAUUGACUCGCUCGGCACCUUUCGAGAAAUCAAA
rnacentral:rRNA from 1 species